rfam:Bombyx mori DNA, contig: Bm_scaf102_contig36234, strain: p50T/Dazao, build 2, whole genome shotgun sequence.
UUAACUCAUAUUUGUAUGGAGUUGGAACUAUUGCCUACGUUUGCCGCUAGAGGCGCUGUUCCAACUCUAUACAAUUUUGAGUUA